UACGUAGGGUGCAAGCGUUAAUCGGAAUUACUGGGCGUAAAGCGCACGUAGGCGGCUUCUUAAGUCAGGGGUGAAAUCCUGGAGCUCAACUCCAGAACUGCCCUUGAUACUGAGGAGCUCGAGUCCGGAAGAGGUGAGUGGAACUCCGAGUGUAGAGGUGAAAUUCGUAGAUAUUCGGAAGAACACCAGUGGCGAAGGCGGCUCACUGGUCCGGUACUGACGCUGAGGUGCGAAAGCGUGGGGAGCAAACAGGG
rnacentral:rRNA from 1 species